rnacentral:misc_RNA from 1 species
UUCUUGGAGACACGGCCACGG